CCUACGGGGGGCUGCAGUGGGGAAUAUUGGACAAUGGGGGGAACCCUGAUCCAGCCAUGCCGCGUGUGUGAAGAAGGCCCUCGGGUUGUAAAGCACUUUCAGUGAGGAAGAACGCCUGGUGGUUAAUACCCAUCAGGAAAGACAUCACUCACAGAAGAAGCACCGGCUAACUCCGUGCCAGCAGCCGCGGUAAUACGGAGGGUGCGAGCGUUAAUCGGAAUUACUGGGCGUAAAGCGCGCGUAGGUGGCUUGAUAAGCCGGUUGUGAAAGCCCCGGGCUCAGCCUGGGAACGGCAUCCGGAACUGUCAAGCUAGAGUGCAGGAGAGGAAGGUAGAAUUCCCGGUGUAGCGGUGAAAUGCGUAGAGAUCGGGAGGAAUACCAGUGGCGAAGGCGGCCUUCUGGACUGACACUGACACUGAGGUGCGAAAGCGUGGGUAGCAAACAGGAUUAGAUACCCCGGUAGUC
rnacentral:rRNA from 1 species